rnacentral:rRNA from 1 species
UACGUAGGGUGCAAGCGUUAAUCGGAAUUACUGGGCGUAAAGCGUGCGCAGGCGGUUGUGCAAGACCGAUGUGAAAUCCCCGGGCUUAACCUGGGAAUGGCAUUGGUGACUGCACGGCUAGAGUGUGUCAGAGGGGGGGUAGAAUUCCACGUGUAGCAGUGAAAUGCGUAGAGAUGUGGAGGAACACCGAUGGCGAAGGCAGCCCCUCGGUGGCAACACUGACGCUCAUGCACGAAAGCGUGGGGAGCAAACAGG